ACUUGCUUCGGCAUAUAAAGUUGGAACAAUACAGAGAAGAUUAGCUUGACCCCGGGGCAAGGAUGAAACGCAAAAUUGUGAAGAGUUUAACAUUUUC
rfam:Camponotus floridanus CamFlo_1.0_4.contig7025, whole genome shotgun sequence.